GUAGUGCAAUGAGAAACAAUGAGGUAAAGAGGACCUCACUUUCUUUCUACCUUCGUGGCGAGCAGCCCAUGUUACUCACGUCAAUACUAAAUCUAAUUUUUUCUUAAAAACAAGCAAGAAAACAUAAAGUGAAAAAGUAAUAAUAAUGGAGUCUCAGGUCAGCUAAGUUAAUGGUUUGAAGCAUAUGCUUUCGAAGAUACCCUCUACAACGUCCCACUUUAUAUGGUCUAUAAACACUAAAAGAGACGUCUCUCUCAUUUGGCUCCUCUUUUGAGGUCGUAAAGGCCAUCAAUGGAUGGUGCUCAUCAAACCUUCAUCUCUCUCUUCUAUCUUUGCGUAUCUACAUAAGUGAAGCUACCUGCGAGCUUCCGGCGCCGGACAUGAGAUGAGACGCGCGACGGAGAUAAGGCUGGAGACGGGAAGAGUGAUCCGUAGACCAUUUUCUAAUAAGGUUUUAUUGAUGAGAACUACAGUGAUGUGUUACCUCUUGUCUAACUAUUAUAUACAUCUAGUUUUUCCGCAAUAUUUGUAUCAGGCCUUUUCAUCCUCAGUUAAAAUAUAAAGGCUCCUUCAUGUAACGGAUUAACAAAAUUUAUGCAUUUGGAUAUUUGAUUA